CCUACGGGUGGCAGCAGUGAGGAAUAUUGGUCAAUGGACGAGAGUCUGAACCAGCCAAGUAGCGCGAAGGAUGACUGCCCUAUGGGUUGUAAACUUCUUUUAUAUGGGAAUAAAAUGUUCCACGUGUGGGAUUUUGUAUGUACCAUAUGAAUAAGGAUCGGCUAACUCCGUGCCAGCAGCCGCGGUAAUACGGAGGAUCCGAGCGUUAUCCGGAUUUAUUGGGUUUAAAGGGAGCGUAGGUGGAGUGUUAAGUCAGUUGUGAAAGUUUGCGGCUUAACCGUAAAAUUGCAGUUGAAACUGGCAGGCUUGAGUACAGUAGAGGUGGGUGGAAUUCGUUGUGGAGCGGUGAAAUGCUUAGAUAUCACGAAGAACUCCGAUUGCGAAGGCAGCCCACUGGACUGCAACUGACACUGAGGCUCGAAAGUGUGGGUAUCAAACAGGAUUAGAUACCCUAGUAGUC
rnacentral:rRNA from 1 species